CCUACGGGAGGCAGCAGUCGAGAAUUAUUCACAAUGGGGGAAACCCUGAUGGUGCGACGCCGCGUGGGGGAAUGAAGGUCUUCGGAUUGUAAACCCCUGUCAUGUGGGAGCAAAUUCAAAAGAUAGUACCACAAGAGGAAGAGACGGCUAACUCUGUGCCAGCAGCCGCGGUAAUACAGAGGUCUCAAGCGUUGUUCGGAAUCACUGGGCGUAAAGGGUGCGUAGGCUGUUUCGUAAGUCGUGUGUGAAAGGCGCGGGCUCAACCCGCGGACGGCACAUGAUACUGGGAGACUAGAGUAAUGGAGGGGGAACCGGAAUUCGCGGUGUAGCAGUGAAAUGCGUAGAUAUCGAGAGGAACACUCGUGGCGAAGGCGGGUUCCUGGACAUUAACUGACGCUGAGGCACGAAAGCCAGGGGAGCGAAAGGGAUUAGAUACCCUUGUAGUC
rnacentral:rRNA from 1 species